rnacentral:rRNA from 1 species
AGAGUUUGAUCCUGGCUCAGGAUGAACGCUGGCGGCGUGCUUAACACAUGCAAGUCGAACGGAGAUACUAUGUGAGCGGAGAUGCUUGCAUUUCUAAUCUUUUAGUAUCUUAGUGGCGGACGGGUGAGUAACGCGUGGGUAACCUGCCUUAUACUGGGGGAUAACACUUAGAAAUAGGUGCUAAUACCGCAUAAGCGCACAGUGAUGCAUAUCACAGUGUGAAAAACUCCGGUGGUAUAAGAUGGACCCGCGUCUGAUUAGCUAGUUGGUAGGGUAACGGCCUACCAAGGCGACGAUCAGUAGCCGGCCUGAGAGGGUGAACGGCCACAUUGGGACUGAGACACGGCCCAAACUCCUACGGGAGGCAGCAGUGGGGAAUAUUGCACAAUGGGGGAAACCCUGAUGCAGCGACGCCGCGUGAGUGAAGAAGUAUUUCGGUAUGUAAAGCUCUAUCAGCAGGGAAGAAAAUGACGGUACCUGACUAAGAAGCCCCGGCUAACUACGUGCCAGCAGCCGCGGUAAUACGUAGGGGGCAAGCGUUAUCCGGAUUUACUGGGUGUAAAGGGAGCGUAGACGGUUAUGCAAGUCUGAAGUGAAAUGCGGGGGCUCAACCCCUGAACUGCUUUGGAAACUGUGUGACUUGAGUGCAGGAGAGGUAAGUGGAAUUCCUAGUGUAGCGGUGAAAUGCGUAGAUAUUAGGAGGAACACCAGUGGCGAAGGCGGCUUACUGGACUGUAACUGACGUUGAGGCUCGAAAGCGUGGGGAGCAAACAGGAAGAGAUACCCUGGUAGUCCACGCCGUAAAC